AGUGAACGCUGGCGGUAGGCCUAACACAUGCAAGUCGAACGGCAGCACAGGAGAGCUUGCUCUCUGGGUGGCGAGUGGCGGACGGGUGAGGAAUACAUCGGAAUCUACUUUUUCGUGGGGGAUAACGUAGGGAGACUUACGCUAAUACCGCAUACGACCUACGGGUGAAAGCAGGGGAUCUUCGGACCUUGCGCGAUUGAAUGAGCCGAUGUCGGAUUAGCUAGUUGGCGGGGUAAAGGCCCACCAAGGCGACGAUCCGUAGCUGGUCUGAGAGGAUGAUCAGCCACACUGGAACUGAGACACGGUCCAGACUCCUACGGGAGGCAGCAGUGGGGAAUAUUGGACAAUGGGCGCAAGCCUGAUUCAGCCAUACCGCGUGGGUGAAGAAGGCCUUCGGGUUGUAAAGCCCUUUUGUUGGGAAAGAAAUCCAGCUGGUUAAUACCCGGUUGGGAUGACGGCACCCAAAGAAUAAGCACCGGCUAACUUCGUGCUAGCCGCCGCGGUAA
rnacentral:rRNA from 1 species